UCAUUUCCUCUAAAAAUGCCCCCUCCCAAACAUGCCUGGCUUUAGCAACUAUUAAAAUUAAUUUCAACUUCCUUACCAGAAUGCAAAUGAUAAUAACAGGAAGCUGGGCUGGGAGUGGCAAGAAAAACCGUACACACACCAGAGAAGGCUGAGGGGAGGCCUUCCCUGCACAGGGCUCCUGAGCACUCUUUCCUGCCAGGCUCUGAUGUCCCCUCCUAAGGGGCUCAGUGGUCAGCAGAGUGCCCUUCCUACAGCUCAUCAUUUUCUGUUACUCUUAAUUACUUCUCCAGUCCCUGUUUUCUCUCUCCUGCUCCCAUGCAAAUUCUGAGGGCAGGGACCCAGUCCAAGGACCUUGCCCAGCACCCAGACGUCUGUGGAAAAAUAUCUGAGGAUGUAUGAGUGACACGAAAUGAAGAUCACAGCCGACAGACGUCCACCUGGCCCAGGUCCCCUCUGCUCUCACGGGCUCCUGGAACGCGCGCUGACGGUCACCCCCACAUUGCCGCUGCCGCCCGGUGCGACCCUCCACCAUCGGAGCCUGAGCCUGGCGGGAGAGGAGAAGAGGGGCUCUUCAAGGAGUAUGGUCUUACUGGAACACCUGCAUGCCAAUUGCUCGGGCUGCAAUCCUCUAGCCUGUGGCUACUCUAUGGGGAGGAGAAAGCCUGCCUUUUGGCUGGAAGUUGGUCCCCUGGCCAGGAUGGUAAUAAGACCCAGAAACUUCAUGCCCUGUCCUUAUACAAAGUUGUCUGUCUUGGGCACGAGACAACCACCUAAGUCACCAGGACAGCUGCCAAUCUUAAGACUCCCGUGUGAGGUUUCCUCCUGAUUGAUCCACUGGGAUCCCCUCCACAGCCCUGGUCUAGCCGCUUCUGGCCAAGGGACCUCCACUGGGAGCCGGCCGAAACCAGUACCUGAUGGAAUUAAAACCCAACUGGGGACCAUUUCCUAGAGAAGUUGACUGACAUCAUUGGAAACAUUGGCUAUUUUACCAAGGCUUUGACUGGAAUGUCAUAUUUGAGAGAGACAUGUAUAGACUCAGAUAUGACUAGACAGCUUUGAGGAACUGAGGUUGACUUUAUGAAACCUGGAGCCAUAACCCCUUGGAAAUGUUGGCCUCACACCUUGCUUACAGAGUUCCCAGCAGCCUUACCAGGUGAGUAAAGAAUGUCACUUCUUGGCAGGUGCACGAACCUCUGGAUACUUUGAGGACCUCAUGGAGAGGAAUCCACCCACAUCUACAGGUGGCCUUUUCAUUCUGUUGAUGUGCCUUUGAUGGAUUUCCUCAGUGGGACGCCCUGCUCCCGGCCCUGUGCUGCGAUCUCAAACAACUCCGUGAAUCCCAGCGUCGUGGAGCCUGCUCCGACCCUGGCCCAACACUACCACACAUCACGGGUGCACAGAGGGUAAUACACGAUGUGCUUGUCGAAAUGCAGAUUCCUGGGCUCAGGAAGGGCACCAAACGACUUGGAUGCUAUGGCUUGAGAACCACAGAGGAUGCUGUUUAACCGCCCAGACCCUGAACAGCCCACCUCCAGUGACUUCUGCCUCCAUUCCAGGCCACCCGCCCCCCCCGCCAGCUCCACUUCUAGAAUCUUCCUAUCCACCCUAUGGAUUCUCUCUCCUGGUGACUGCAUGAACCCUCACCCCACACAAUUUCUCACCAUCCCCAACUCAGUGAGGAGACUGGUUCCGAGGCCCUUCCUUCUUAGGCCUCAGACUCUGAUGGGAGUUUCUCAGGCUCUACCUCCUGAAGGGGGCUUCUGGGCCACCUCUAUCAGAUCCACCUGGAGAGAACCUGUGACCUGCCCCUGGGCCUCCAGCCACUCUCUGGGCAGGGGGCCCCUGUCUUUGUUUCCCCAGGGGCUGCCGGGCACACGGAUGCUAACUGCCUUGGUCAGGCGGUCCUGGAAGCUUGAACUGAAUGAUCAGUUAAGGCCUGGCUGGGCAGACUCACAGACAGGCUCCUUGGGGAAGAGAAGCACAUGCAGGCUUCAUAGUGGGCGUACAGUGGGAUCUCACUGGGGCUUGAUGGGCCUUCUCCUGAUGAUUGACGACAUUGGGCAUCUUUGCACGCAUGCUCGUGUUUCACACACACAUUCAACAACCCAGAAGAAGAAGAAGAUGAGCUCACUCUGCCUACCUCUUUCAUCUCUGAUGCAAUGAAAACAAAGCAAACCAGUCUUGUGCAGGGUGAGCUGCCCAACAGGACCAGCUACCUUGUCCCUGCACAGGGUCGCCCCUCCCUCCCCGGGAAAAGUGACCAUCACGCCUGGAGGAGCCACCCUCACCUCCCCGAGCCACUUCCCCGGGCCUCCUCCCCGGACCUGCCUGUGGGUUUUGUUUGCCUGUCCGCGGCACCGGCAGCCGCGCCCUGUCCCGGAAUUCACUUCUGGGGACCUAAGCUGCUGCGCUCUUUCCCACAUCGAGGCUCCUCCAAUAUUCCCCUCUGCAGCCUGAGCAUCUCGGCGACAGGCCGCCGAAGCAGCCCUGCCGCCGCUGCCGGGACCUGUCCGGGUGCAGUGCAGCUGACCCCCGGGGGCCACCGGGCGCACCCGGAACCACCCGGCCCACUGGGACCACCCGGGCCCACGGGACACACCAGGAACCACCGGGCCUACCCGGAACCACCCAGGCCCACGGGGCCCACCAGGCCCACCGGCAAC